rnacentral:miRNA from 1 species
GCUGACACAUCCCUGCCAAUCUCCGGCAGACCCUCCCUCCCAGACCCUCCUACUUCCUGGACAGCAUCCAUGUUGAAGCUGUCUUCAACAUGGAUGCUGUCCAGGAGGUGGGAGGGUCUGGGAGGGAGGGUCUGCCGGAGAUUGGCAGGGAUAUGUCAG